GAGUUUGAUCAUGGUUCAGGACGAACGCUGGCGGCGUGCCUAACACAUGCAAGUCGAGCGAUGAAACCCCUUCGGGGGUGGAUUAGCGGCGGACGGGUGAGUAACACGUGGGUAACCUGCCUCAAAGUGGGGGAUAGCCUUCCGAAAGGAAGAUUAAUACCGCAUAAAGCCAAGUUUCACAUGGAAUUUGGAUGAAAGGAGUAAUUCGCUUUGAGAUGGACCCGCGGCGCAUUAGUUAGUUGGUGGGGUAAUGGCCUACCAAGACAGCGAUGCGUAGCCGACCUGAGAGGGUGAUCGGCCACAUUGGAACUGAGAUACGGUCCAGACUCCUACGGGAGGCAGCAGUGGGGAAUAUUGCACAAUGGGCGAAAGCCUGAUGCAGCAACGCCGCGUGAGUGAUGAAGGUCUUCGGAUUGUAAAGCUCUGUCUUUUGGGACGAUAAUGACGGUACCAAAGGAGGAAGCCACGGCUAACUACGUGCCAGCAGCCGCGGUAAUACGUAGGUGGCGAGCGUUGUCCGGAUUUACUGGGCGUAAAGGGUGCGUAGGCGGAUGUUUAAGUGAGAUGUGAAAUACCCGGGCUUAACUUGGGUGCUGCAUUUCA
rnacentral:rRNA from 1 species